rnacentral:rRNA from 1 species
AAUGAACGCUGGCGGCGCGCCUAAUACAUGCAAGUCGAGCGAGAAGACGUAGCAAUACGUUUGUAAAGCGGCGAACGGGUGAGGAAUACAUGGGGUAACCUACCCUCGAGUGGGGAAGUAACUAGCCGAAAGGUUAGCUAAUACCGCGUACGCUUCUUGGACUUCGGUUCAGGGAGGAAAGCGAUACCGUGGGUAUCGCGCUCUUGGAUGGGCUCAUGCCCUAUCAGCUCGUUGGUGAGGAACGGCUCACCAAGGCUUCGACGGGUAGCUGGUCUGAGAGGACGAUCAGCCACACUGGCACUGCGACACGGGCCAGACUCCUACGGGGAGGCAGCAGUAAGGAAUAUUGCGCAAUGGGCGAAAGCCUGACGC